AGUGAACGCUGGCGGUAGGCCUAACACAUGCAAGUCGAACGGCAGCACAGUAAGAGCUUGCUCUUACGGGUGGCGAGUGGCGGACGGGUGAGGAAUACAUCGGAAUCUACUUUUUCGUGGGGGAUAACGUAGGGAAACUUACGCUAAUACCGCAUACGACCUACGGGUGAAAGCAGGGGAUCUUCGGACCUUGCGCGAUUGAAUGAGCCGAUGUCGGAUUAGCUAGUUGGCGGGGUAAAGGCCCACCAAGGCGACGAUCCGUAGCUGGUCUGAGAGGAUGAUCAGCCACACUGGAACUGAGACACGGUCCAGACUCCUACGAGAGGCAGCAGUGGGGAAUAUUGGACGAUGGGCGCAAGCCUGAUCCAGCCAUACCGCGUGGGUGAAGAAGGCCGUCGGGUUGUAAAGCCCUUUUGUUGGGAAAGAAAAGCAGCAGGUUAAUACCCCGCUGUUCUGACGGUACCCAAAGAAUAAGCACCGGCUAACUUCG
rnacentral:rRNA from 1 species